rnacentral:lncRNA from 1 species
GGGUGGUCGACACACACAUAGUCUGUGUGUGUGUGUAUUCUUGUGUGAAUCAAGGAAGAAGGAGAAGAGAAGGAAUUUGAAAUUUUUCAUGGAUAAUCUAUGAGUUUUGAAGUGUUCAUCAUCUCCUAAGCAUCAAGCGCGUCUACUUUAAUCUAAGGGCAUUGCAUGCUUUUAGGACAAGGUAUUAUAUCUUUAUGACAGAGUAAGUUUUGUAUAACCUUCUUUUUUCGCUUGGUAGUAAGGCACAUCAGGUGAAUCAUCUGCUAGGGUGAGUUUAAUAUGUAGAUCAUCUCCUCAUUGCAAGGUACAGUCGUUCUUUUUAACAACCAACAUUAUAUUUUCUAGUAGGUAUACUUGUUCUAUCCUACAAUGAUUUGGAAAGAAAGCAACAAGUUUGUUGUUUGUGAAAUGUUCUCUUAUGUAAGCAAACUUGUCAUGUGGAAAUGUUAAUUUAGAUUGGGUAUUCAGUGAACACUUAAAAAUAUGUUGGGUGUUGACCGGCUACAAUUGUAAUAAUCUAAUAUUAUAAUGCUUAAUUUAGGAAGGUCUUGUUGCGAUGUUCGAGAAUUUGCUCGUUUAACUUUAAUAUAGCUCUUACUUGGGGUAUGUUUGGCACACAACUUUUAGGAUGUUUUAAGAGCCUUAACUUUUUGUUUUUGAAAAAAAAAGCACUCUUUGAAAAAAAGCCUAGUUUGGAACACAAAGCUUUAGCUUUGACUUUGGAAAAAUAAGUUAGCUUGAGUAGCAUUCAAAACAAGCUGGAGCUUGUAAUUUUGCAAAGUUAUUCGUUUAUUCUUACUUAAUCGUGUCUGCCAUUCGAGCUUUUUAUGUGUUUUUCUUUUAUAUAAUUUUACAACAGCUCUGCCCUUUAUCUUUUGCCUAUCUCCCUGUUUUCAGUUACAAUCUGUUUGGUAUAGUUCUUAGUACUGAUCUAAAUUCCUAACUUAACUUACAUUUAAACUUGACAAGGUACUGUCUAGUGGAGCCUGCAAAAGUGUCCUAUAUAUGAAACCAAGGGCAUGCAAUUCGCAGAGUGAAAGUUAGGCUUCAAUUACCACUUGCAACAAAGGAUGUUAUCUACAACCUCACUUUUGUCUCCUAAAAUCUUUCCGUUACAUGUUUUUGCUUUGCUAUCCAUUGUAUGUCGAAGCUUAGAACAUAUUGCAAAUUAACUAGGCAUUUUGGUCAUUCCUCCUUACACAGGAACAAAUGAUCAACUACAAACCUCUAUAAGAUGUAAGUGCUUUGGUUAAUCCUUUUAUGAGUGUAAUGAACAAGGAGCAUGGCGACUACCUUCUACUUUAUGGCAAAGGUUCUUGAAUUGCGAAAAGAAAUUGAGGAGAACCAUUAAAGGAAAAAAACUGAGCUAGAAGCAAUGCAAAAGAGAUUUUGACAUACAACGAACAACUUAGAAGCUACGAUGUGAAGUAUUAUUUGGAAAAGCUACCUAUUCGAGAACUUCCGGAUCUUUGAGAUGAGUAGAAACUUUAUGUUACUUCUAUCAUUGUAAAUGACAACUUCAUUUUGGUUACAUUGUUAUUUUGAGUUUGGACAUGUGUUAAAUUGCGAUAUAAUAGAUAUGUUAUUAGUUUGUUG